GACGAACGCUGGCGGCGUGCUUAACAAAUGCAAGUCGAACGGAAAGGCCCCUUUGGGGGUACUCGAGUGGCGAACGGGUGAGUAACACGUGAGUAACCUGCCCUUGACUUCGGGAUAACUUCAGGAAACUGGGGCUAAUACCGGAUAGGAAUCCUUGCUGCAUGGUGGGGGUUGGAAAGCUUCGGCGGUUUUGGAUGGACUCGCGGCUUAUCAGCUUGUUGGUGGGGUAGUGGCUUACCAAGGCUUUGACGGGUAGCCGGCCUGAGAGGGCGACCGGCCACAUUGGGACUGAGAUACGGCCCAGACUCCUACGGGAGGCAGCAGUGGGGAAUAUUGCACAAUGGGCGGAAGCCUGAUGCAGCAACGCCGCGUGCGGGAUGACGGCCUUCGGGUUGUAAACCGCUUUCAGCAGGGGCGAAGCUUGUGGUGACGGUACCUGCAGAAGAAGCACCGGCUAACUACGUG
rnacentral:rRNA from 1 species